UAAGGUUGGUGGAGACUUCUAAAGAAGAGGCUCAAUUGAUUUGGCUACAAGAGAUACAGGUUCAGGUGCUCAGAAGUGAGCUGCGGUUCGUCUGAGAAACGGCGAAGAUAUUUAUUUUCUCUACUUUGUGUUUUCCUUAGAAUCUCUCCACCUUUGUUUUGAAAAGAUUAUAUUAUGUGUUGAACUCUUUUGAAACUUGCCUAUAGAGGCUCUUAUGUUUCCUUUGGGAGAGAUUAGGAUAUACUGUUGUCAACUACUUUCAUACUGUACCCUAGCCGGCCUAAACUUCGCGGGUCGCGACUAGUGGCUAUUUACUUAUGUUAUAUAUAUCUAUCUGUUAUCUAUC